rnacentral:rRNA from 1 species
CUGAACCAGCCAAGUAGCGUGAAGGAUGACUGCCCUAUGGGUUGUAAACUUCUUUUAUAAAGGAAUAAAGUCGGGUAUGCAUACCCGUUUGCAUGUACUUUAUGAAUAAGGAUCGGCUAACUCCGUGCCAGCAGCCGCGGUAAUACGGAGGAUCCGAGCGUUAUCCGGAUUUAUUGGGUUUAAAGGGAGCGUAGGUGGACAGUUAAGUCAGUUGUGAAAGUUUGCGG